rnacentral:rRNA from 1 species
AUUGAACGCUAGCGGGAUGCCUUACACAUGCAAGUCGAACGGAGUGGCGAACGGGUGAGUAAUUUAUCGGAACGUGCCCAGUAGCGGGGGCUAACUACGCGAAAGCGUAGCUAAUACAGCAUACUAUUGGAGCGGCCGAUAGAGGAUUGGCUAGUUGGUGGGGUAACGGCUCACCAAGGCGACGCUCCGUAGCUGGUUUGCGAGGACGACCAGCCACACGGGACCUGAGACACGACCCAGGCCCCUGCGGUAGGCAGAAGUGGGGAAUGUUGGACAAUGGGGGAAACCCGGAGCCAGCCAUCCCGCGUGUGCGUGGAAGGCCGGCGGGUUGUAAAGCACUUUUGGCAGGAGAGCGGUACCUGCAGAAUAAGCACAGGCUAACUACGUGCCAGCAGCCGCGGUAAUUC